UCGAGAAGCUUCGGCAAUGGGCGAAAGCCUGACCGAGCGACGCCGCGUGAGCGAUGAAGGCCCUUGUGGUUGUAAAGCUCUGUCAGAGGGGAUUAACACGGAGCGGCGAAUAGCCUCUCCGUCUGAAAGUACCCUCAGAGGAAGCUCCGGCUAACUCCGUGCCAGCAGCCGCGGUAAUACGGAGGGAGCGAACGUUGUUCGGAAUCACUGGGUGUAAAGGGUGCGUAGGCGGCCUUGUAUGUCGGAGGUGAAGUCUACCGGCUCAACCGGUCAAAUUGCCUCCGGAACUGCUUGGCUUGAGUCCGGAAGGAGAGGGUGGAAUUCCUGGUGUAACGGUGAAAUGUGCAGGUAUCAGGAAGAACACCGAUGGCGAAGGCGGCCCUCUGGUCCGGUACUGACGCUGAGGCACGAAAGCCAGGGGAUCAAGCGGG
rnacentral:rRNA from 1 species